rnacentral:rRNA from 1 species
UACAGAGGAGCCAAGCGUUGUCCGGAUUGACUGGGCGUAAAGCGCACGCAGGCGGAUGCGCGCGUGGGGUGUGAAAUCUGGCCGCUUAACGGCCAGUCGCCAUCCCAUACGGCGCGUCUGGAGUGAUGCAGAGGUCGAUGGAAUUGCCGGUGUAGUGGUGAAAUGCGUAGAGAUCGGCAGGAACACCCAGGGGGAAACCAGUCGACUGGGCAUCUACUGACGCUGAGGUGCGAGAGCGUGGGGAGCGAACCGG